rnacentral:rRNA from 6 species
GUUUGACCUCGGAUCAGGUAGGGAUACCCGCUGAACUUAAGCAU